UUAGAGUUUGAUCCUGGCUCAGGAUGAACGCUAGCGGCAGGCUUAACACAUGCAAGUCGAGGGGCAGCGAGGGUAAUAGCAAUAUUACCUGUCGGCGACCGGCGCACGGGUGCGUAACGCGUAUGCAACCUACCAUCAACAGGGGGAUAACACUGAGAAAUUGGUACUAAUACCCCAUAAUAUCUCAUGCGGCAUCGCAUGGGGUUGAAAACUCCGGUGGUUGAUGAUGGGCAUGCGUUGGAUUAGCUGGUUGGUGAGGUAACGGCUCACCAAGGCGACGAUACAUAGGGGGACUGAGAGGUUAACCCCCCACAUUGGUACUGAGACACGGACCAAACUCCUACGGGAGGCAGCAGUGAGGAAUAUUGGUCAAUGGACGCAAGUCUGAACCAGCCAUGCCGCGUGCAGGAUGACGGCUCUAUGAGUUGUAAACUGCUUUUGUACGAGGGUAAACCCCGAUACGUGUAUUGGGUUGAAAGUAUCGUACGAAUAAGGAUCGGCUAACUCCGUGCCAGCAGCCGCGGUAAUACGGAGGAUCCGAGCGUUAUCCGGAUUUAUUGGGUUUAAAGGGUGCGUAGGCGGUUUGAUAAGUUAGAGGUGAAAUGUCGGGGCUCAACCCCGAAACUGCCUCUAAUACUGUUGGACUAGAGAAUAGUUGCGGUAGGCGGAAUGUAUGGUGUAGCGGUGAAAUGCUUAGAGAUCAUACAGAACACCGAUUGCGAAGGCAGCUUACCAAACUAUAUCUGACGUUGAGGCACGAAAGCGUGGGUAGCAAACAGGAUUAGAUACCCUGGUAGUCCACGCAGUAAGCGAUGAUAACUCGUUGUCGGCGAUACACAGUCGGUGACUAAGCGAAAGCGAUAAGUUAUCCACCUGGGGAGUACGUUCGCAAGAAUGAAACUCAAAGGAAUUGACGGGGGCCCGCACAAGCGGAGGAACAUGUGGUUUAAUUCGAUGAUACGCGAGGAACCUUACCCGGGCUUGAAAGUUAGCGACGACGCUUGAAAGAGCGUUUCCCUUCGGGGCGCGAAACUAGGUGCUGCAUGGUUGUCGUCAGCUCGUGCCGUGAGGUGUCGGGUUAAGUCCCAUAACGAGCGCAACCCCUACUGUUAGUUGCCAUCAGGUGAUGCUGGGCACUCUAGCGGGACUGCCGGUGUAAGCCGAGAGGAAGGUGGGGAUGACGUCAAAUCAGCACGGCCCUUACGUCCGGGGCCACACACGUGUUACAAUGGUAGGUACAGAGGGCAGCUACCCUGCGAAGGGGUGCGAAUCUCGAAAGCCUAUCUCAGUUCGGAUUGGAGGCUGAAACCCGCCUCCAUGAAGUUGGAUUCGCUAGUAAUCGCGCAUCAGCCAUGGCGCGGUGAAUACGUUCCCGGGCCUUGCACACACCGCCCGUCAAG
rnacentral:rRNA from 1 species